rnacentral:rRNA from 1 species
CAGCCGUAAACGAUGCGCGUUAGGUGUAUCGACGACCACGAGUCGUCGAGGUGCCGAAGGGAAACCGUGAAACGUGCCGCCUGGGAAGUACGGUCGCAAGGCUGAAACUUAAAGGAAUUGGCGGGGGAGCACCACAACAGGUGGAGCCUGCGGUUUAAUUGGACUCAACGCCGGAAAUCUCACCGGAUAAGCCAGCAGAAUGAUUGCCGGGCUGAAGACUCUGCAUGACUAGCUGAGAGGAGGUGCAUGGCGUAGACGUCU